AACGAACGCUGGCGGCGCGCUUAACACAUGCAAGUCGAACGAGAAGGCGUAGCAAUACGCUUGUACAGUGGCGAACGGGUGAGUAACACGUGGGUGACCUACCCUCGAGUGGGGAAUAACCCGCCGAAAGGCGGGCUAAUGCCGCGUACGCUUCCAGGUUUGCGGAUCUGGAAGGAAAGCCAUGCCGUGGGCAUGGCGCUCAAGGAUGGGCUCACGUCCUAUCAGCUUGUUGGUAGGGUAACGGCCUACCAAGGCAACGACGGGUAGCUGGUCGGAGGGGACGAUCAGCCACACUGGCACUGCGACACGGGCCAGACUCCUACGGGAGGCAGCAGUGAGGAAUAUGGCGCAAUGGGCGAAAGCCUGACGCAGCGACGCCGCGUGGGGGAUGAAGGUCUUCGGAUUGUAAACCCCUUUCGGGAGGGAAGAUGGGACGGGCAACCGUUCGGACGGUACCUCCAGAAGCAGCCACGGCUAACUUCGUGCCAGCCGCCGCGGUAA
rnacentral:rRNA from 1 species